rnacentral:tRNA from 1 species
GUCUGUAGCUCAGCUGGAUAGAGCAUCGCCCUUCUAAGGCGGUUGUCGGGGGUUCGAAUCCCUCCAGG